rnacentral:rRNA from 1 species
AUGAAUCUCUUGGCCUGGAACUGUCGAGGCUUGGGGUUGGACUCGACAGUUGGCGAACUACGGGACCUCAUACGGUCAUACAACCCAGCGGUGGUCUUUUUGUCAGAAACAUUAAAGAAGGCUGAACCGAUGAAUAAACUCAAAUGGAGCUUGGGGUUCAGGCAAGGAGUUGCAGUUAAUUGUAUAGGUAGGAGUGGAGGCUUAGCUUUGUGGUGGAGGGAUGAUGUGCAAGUUAUGGUGAGACCGUGGAGCCAAUAUUUCAUCGACGCGGAGGUGUGCUAUGAGGGCAAAACCUUUAGGUUCACUGGAAUCUAUGGGGAACCACGAACAGAACUGAGGAAGAAAACUUGGGAUGCACUGGCAUACCUAAGAAGACAAGAUAAUCUCCCCUGGCUAUGCGCGGGCGAUUUUAAUGAGGCAUUAACCCAGGCUGAACAAAGAGGAGGAAAUGCUAGGAACCUGAAACAAAUGGAGGAUUUCAAAGACUGUCUUGACAUGUGCGCACUGGCGGACAUGGGCUUCUCUGGAUACCCGUUCACGUGGGACAAUCACUACUGGAAUCAGCUAAUUUGCCAUCUGCCGGCUCUUUGCCGUCUGCUAGCUGACGAUAAAGAAGCUCUUUGCCAUCAGCUACCCAAAAGCAGACGUCAAAGAAACGGCAGACGGCAAAGAAGCUCUUUGCCAUCUGCGAGCUCUUUGCCGUCAGCCAGCAGACGGCAAAGAAUCUUUGCCGUCCGCUGGCAGACGGCAAAGAGUGAGGUGGCCCCCACCCCCGCCCGUUUGGAAAAAACUUAA